CAAAGAAUAUUUUAAUAAAAAUAAUAAUUUUGGAGAUUAUAGAUAUGGGUAAUUCUUUUUCUUUGA
rnacentral:tRNA from 1 species